GUAAGGAAUAUUGGUCAAUGGGGGCAACCCUGAACCAGCCAUGCCGCGUGAAGGAUGAAGGCGUUAUGCGUUGUAAACUUCUUUUGUAUGGGAAGAAUGACAGGGAUUUAUCCUUGGAGAGACGGUACCAUACGAAUAAGCACCGGCUAACUCCGUGCCAGCAGCCGCGGUAAUACGGAGGGUGCAAGCGUUAUCCGGAAUCACUGGGUUUAAAGGGUACGUAGGCGGUUAAUUAAGUAAGUAGUGAAAGACUGUCGCUCAACGACGGAUGUGCUAUUGAUACUGGUUAACUUGAAUCAGGUUAGAUUUGGCGGAAUGGGUCAUGUAGCGGUGAAAUGCUUAGAUAUGAUACAGAACACCGAUAGCGAAGGCAGCUUGCUGAACCAUUAUUGACGCUGAGGCACGAAAGCGUGGGGAGCGAACAGGAUUAGAAACCCCGGUAGUCC
rnacentral:rRNA from 1 species